AAGAAGCGACCGCGCGAGCGUGAGCGAAUCUCAAAAAUAACGUCUCAGUUCGGAUUGUAGUCUGCAACUCGACUACAUGAAGCUGGAAUCGCUAGUAAUCGCGGAUCAGAAUGCCGCGGUGAAUACGUUCCCGGGUCUUGUACACACCGCCCGUCACACCAUGGGAGUCAGUAACGCCCGAAGCCGGUGACCCAACCAAACCUGGAGGGAGCCGUCGAAGGCGGGACGGAUGACUGGGGUGAAGUCGUAACAAGGUAAC
rnacentral:rRNA from 1 species